GUCGAGCGGACCAGGUGGAGCUUGCUCCCUUGGUUUAGCGGCGGACGGGUGAGUAACACGUGGGCAACCUGCCCUGCAGAUCGGGAUAACUCCGGGAAACCGGUGCUAAUACCGAAUAGUUUGCGGCCUCUCAUGAGGCUGCACGGAAAGACGGUUUCGGCUGUCACUGCAGGAUGGGCCCGCGGCGCAUUAGCUAGUUGGUGGGGUAACGGCCCACCAAGGCGACGAUGCGUAGCCGACCUGAGAGGGUGAUCGGCCACACUGGGACUGAGACACGGCCCAGACUCCUACGGGAGGCAGCAGUAGGGAAUCUUCCGCAAUGGACGAAAGUCUGACGGAGCAACGCCGCGUGAGUGAAGAAGGUUUUCGGAUCGUAAAACUCUGUUGUGAGGGAAGAACAAGUACCAGCUAACUACUGGUACCUUGACGGUACCUCACCAGAAAGCCACGGCUAACUACGUGCCAGCAGCCGCGGUAAUACGUAGGUGGCAAGCGUUGUCCGGAAUUAUUGGGCGUAAAGCGCGCGCAGGCGGUCCUUUAAGUCUGAUGUGAAAGCCCACGGCUCAACCGUGGAGGGUCAUUGGAAACUGGGGGACUUGAGUGCAGAAGAGGAAAGUGGAAUUCCACGUGUAGCGGUGAAAUGCGUAGAGAUGUGGAGGAACACCAGUGGCGAAAGCGACUUUCUGGUCUGUAACUGACGCUGAGGCGCGAAAGCGUGGGGAGCAAACAGGAUUAGA
rnacentral:rRNA from 1 species